ensembl:lncRNA
CCCGCCCCGGCCGCGGGCCCGGAGCCGCUGCAGACCCGGUGCCCCGCGCACCUGGCGGGGAGAAAGUUCGGGGUCCGCGAACACGCCGUGACCUUGAGACGGCGGCUCCCUGUCCCCGCGCCCGCCCCGCGGGGCGGCCAGGAGGGGGGCGCUCGGGCGCAAGGGUCGGGGUCGGGGACCCGCCCUUGCCGUCCCACCGGUCUGCGGCGCCUCGGAGCCGGAGCCCGACCCGGACCGAGGCCCCAGGCCCCGUUUUGCGGGCCGGGCCGGGAAUUCGGGGGCGUCUGGCCGCUGUGGGCUCGGCGACUUCCAGACGCGCUCGAGCUGCGCCCGCCCGCCCGCUCGCUCCUGCAGAAGGCCCGGAAGUCCGCCCGGAGCCCUGCCCGCCGGCCUGUUUCCCGGGUUCUCGGACGGAGCCGGCCCGGCCCUGGCAGUUGUUUUGCCCUCGCUGAAGACCGGUGGCGUCGCCGAGGCUGAGCGCCCGCCCUUCCCGGUCCCCCGGCCCCACCACACCUGGCCAGCGCCACCCUGACUCCGGGCUGCGGCGUCGCCCUCGUCUGCGGACGGAGCCGCGCGCGCGCGGCCUCCUGACUUUCCGGCACGGCUUCGUGGGGAAGCCAGACGGCGCUCCGAAGGACAGCCGCGCAGGCCGCGCCUCCGGUGGCGGGGAACGACGGGAGUAAACCCUGCGUUCGGCCUGAUGCCCCCACUCUUCCUCCUCCGACCGAACUUUGGUGCCGUGGACCCCGCGACAUCCGGCUCCUGCACCACGGUCACGAGAAGCAGCACGUUUUAAUUCUAAAGCCUCGGGCUUUCCUUCCUAAGCGAGUUGUUCCAAAACAUCGCAUUUUCCGGAUUCCGAGUGACAAGGGACAGUAAGGCAGAGAAGGUGCGGAUCGUCCCUGCAACGCUAACUACAAGGCCUGGGAGGGCUGCGCUCCAGCUCGCAGACAGCGGAGAGCUCACGUUCCUCCCUCGCUCCCCACCUCCGUCCCUGUUAGCUUCUCCGAUUAGGACCGCAGCGCAGGUCUGGGCCCACACAGGUGAGGACGUGUGCGAAGCUGAUUGCUGGUUGGAACCGAGUCCCUGGCUCUGUUGAGCGAAUGAGCUUGCCCCGCCCACACACGUGAACUUGUCCGUCCUCCUGGAGGAAGAAAGAUUCCCGAAGCAAAGUACCGAGUAGCAGAACGAGGGACGGGGUGUUGGCCUCCCCCUGUUUCCCCGUGGAAGAAGGGAUGCAUGCCUGCUGCGAAUCUGGGGGUUCGCGUUCCGCAGAGAAGAGCAGAAGUGUAGAAGUGCUUUGAAGUGAUCGCUCGCUGGGUGCACACUUUGAUUGGUCUGAGGGCGACAGUUCGGCCUCUUCCCUGGCUCUUCAAAAUCUUUAUUUCAGGGCCUGCUUACUUCCAAAGUGCGGCUGCUCAUCAGAGCCACCUAAGGAGCUCCCAGGGCAGCCGAGGCCCCAGCCCCCGAUCUUCUCUCCAGGACAGAAACUCAUUCUGUCUGUUCUGGUGGGGCAUGCGUGAUCACUAGUAAAGCAGUUGCUAAUGAAAACUGGGCUUUCCCCUGUGGCCCCCAUCUGCACAGGUAGGGGAAGCACUGUUGUUUUUACAGCUCCUGUGUCUUUCUCCCGGGCCACCGCUGAACUAUGUAAAUAACUAGCUGGUUUUCCUUUUCUCUCAUUCUCAAGCCCCACAUAAUUCACAUAGUAGUCCUUUUCAUAUUUGUCUAUAAAUAAGUGAAUGCAGUCCAGGGAUCAGUUCACGUAAACUGCAUUUGCAGUUAUAUUAAAAGCAUCAGGUCCAGAAUGUGUCCCUUAACCUGCUUCCUCCUGGAAUCCUUUGCGUCCUCUUCCAGGACCUUCUCUCUGCAUUUCUUCCACACAACACUUUGAUUAUUCCUCCUCCUUUUUCCUAGUUCUUUUCCUUUUCUGGACAUUUUUUUCCUUAGCUGUUUGUCCCUCUCGUUCUGUGCUACCUUUAUUUUAGUUCCCCAGUGAACUGAAGUUGUUGGAGGACUGGCACCAGAGCACCGGAGUUUUCAUUUGUGUGUAUUCUGACCUUCAGUUCCCAAGGGAUGCUUGCUGGCCCACUCCUGGGUUUCCAGAAGGAGAACAUGGGGUCUGGAACAGUCGGCCCCCAGGGGUAGACGUCAGGAGGUACAGACUGUGCUCGAGUCACCAUCCGCCGUCUGCCUCCCUUUGUCUUCUACUUUUUGUAACAAAAAUUAUCAACUUCGAAUCCCUUAAGAGUGGCCCGUAUCACUGCCCAAACCUCUCACGUUUGCGGGUACUGGCCCGGCCCCUGAGUGCAUUCUGCCUGCAAACAGAGACAGCCCACUUGGACAAGGGUAUGGACCUGGCUGAAAAUCACAACUACACUGGAAAUGGGAAACCAUUUGUUCAUAAAUUUACCAAAAAAAGGAAAUUUCAAGACAGCCUCAUUAAAGACCUGUUAAAAGUUCAUUUACUAGAUAGCUGUUGCUCCUUUGUGAAAACAAAAUUAAAUGUAAAGAACUAAACGAAAAUUAUACUAAGUCACCUUUGCUCCAAUUAUUCUUUCAUUUCAUGACUGCAGACAAAUGUCCUAUCAGAUCAACUCACGAUGUGCACUGAAGAUGUACAUGUUCAGCACCACCCCUUUGUGCUCCUGCAGGCUGAAACCCCUCCAGUAACAGUCAGGGGACAUUAAGGACUCUACAAGACAAAAUAAGUAUUUUGACUGUUACUCUUCUCAGACUUCCUUCAAAAUUGACCACACUACCAUUAACAAAAAGUGCUAAUUAUGUCAACCCAAGCUACAACGCAAGAGUUCACUCAGAAGAUAUGGGCAAUGAUUGAAUUUUCAAAAUAUUACAGUAAAAGACACAUUGCUAUUAAUCUUCCUCAGAAUACUUCUCCUCCCUUUGAACACACUUUCUGAAAGUCUGAAUGCACUUUCUGAAGCCUCUCUGGAAGUCCUCUUUCCAGAGUGUCUUGAGUUGCACUGUCAUUGCUGUCUCAAAGUCCUGGAUCAAUUCAAGACUUUGCCUUUUGUGGUCAUGUUGAAUUUGGGAAAGAGUCAGAAGUCAUAUGGAGGCAGAUAAGGCGAAUGAGGACAUCCCAUCAUGUUUUCGUUUCACAGAAAUUGCUGAUUCAGGACGUGGAGGCGGACAUGAAGAGACACUUACGCCGUCCAUGACAGUGGUUGGUAAAGCGUUACCUGCACUGCAACCUGAGUGGCCUUACAUCAUCUCCCGUGGGUAACUGCAGUGAGGGCCUGAUGAACACACAGUAGGAGUGACCAGACAGCUGUGACCAGGACACAGCAUGAUGGGAACAGCUCCUACGAUUUAAAGGAAAUAAGGGUCAUUAGGGUGUAGGAGUCCAGGUAGCAACUUAACCCCCAGAGUCAAGGCAGGUGUGACUGUCACAGUAGGUGAUAGGGUGGGUGUAUCAGAAAGGUGUGACCUACACGGGUCCUUGGGAGUGACUAAAGGAUUACAAAGUCCCGAGGACUGAAAAGUCUGAAUAUUACACUAAGUUCCUGCUGUUUCUGGCCACUUAGGUUCUUAUCCUCAGGUUCAUUUGUGCACCACUGACCAAAUCAAAGGAGGCUAUAAUGUUUGGGUAAAAAGGAAAAGGGUUUAUUGAAGGCCAGCUUGGCGGACAUGGAGGGCCCGUUUGUCUCAGGUCACCGUCUUCCCUGCACAGGCGGACAAGGGACGUUGGUAGUAAGGAGCUGAGGGGAACACAGAGUCAGUGUUGAGCUCCACACUUGCUUUAUCACUUCUGGCCUCUUCAGCUGUGGCCUCCUGGGGCUGCUGGCACCUGCAUAUUCUGUCCGUUCUUCUGAGCUGAGAAGACCUGGGGGAGUCUUUAUGCCCUAAGCCUGAGGACACCUGGAGAAACUAUUUGUCUCUAAAAGAAAAACCCUAACUUGUAAAGUUCCACUUUGCACUGUCCAUUACACGGCUUAAUCUCUACAACCAAGAUGCCUGCGGUUGAGGUCAGCCUAGACCUGACUUGCACUAUCACAAGAGCAAAUUGUCUCCUGAUCUGUUCUUCAGACCUGGAGUGGGCCCUGGAGUCUAGGUGCACUCAAAGGCAGGCGAGUCCUGCAUCACCAGGAGAUGCCUGCAUUCCUCCUGAUCUUGCCCAGAGGCCCCAGGUUGGUUACCAGGAUGCCCAUAGCUUCAGAGGUGGCUGACAGGACCCUGACCCAGGAUGCCAGCAUGGUCCGUGGCAAGUCACAUAGAGAACCUGUGUGCUGACCCAAUGCCCGGCAUGCACAGCAGGCCCUGAGUGCUUUCUGUGCUGAGUUCCCCUCCUUGGGGUGGGGGAGACAACCCAGCAAUGGCCUCAGCUCUCAGAUUUUACCCUGAAUGGGGAGCCAAGGUGGGAAAGCCAAAAAAUAAAACCGAAAACAAACCCUGCAGACCAUAACCACCCUAGCAGUACAGGAAGCCAAAGCAACAUUGCAUUGCUGGGGAAACAACAGAGAGAAGUGUACCACCAGGCCCUGGGGAGGAUGGCAGGCGGUGACUAUAGUCGUGUCCCCACCAGCCUAACUCACUUCAUCCACUAGUGAUGUGGACCUGGGUCAAGGCAGAGGGUUGUCAGCUGCUCAGUUAGGCCUCCUUGUGGAACACUGAGGACCGCUCCUGAUGCCCAAUAGCAUGUGAUCUGUUUGCCAAAUGUUUUCCAUUGUACUCAUAAACACUGAGCCCAGCUGGGAAUGGAUUUCCCCUUCACUCAGUGUCACAGGGAAAGGUCAUGUUGAGUCCCAAGGUGUAAGAUACAGUCCAGAGGGUUCUUGAUUGCUUCAUCAUCACCAGGUUUAUUCUGGAUCAUCACACUGCUGAUAUCGCACAGCUGGGACCUGGUGGUGAGUGAAUAGUACAUAGGCAUCAUGGUAAGACGUGUGUGUGCCAGGGAGAGACUCACAUGAAAAUGUAUGUAUUUAUCUUCCCAAUUAUUUACUUUAUCUUCCUGAUCCCAGCUGGACUAUGGGUCCCAUGUGAACAAUGACAUCUGCCUUAUUCACCACCACUGUUCCAGCCUAGUCCUGGUACCUACAAAAAAUAAGGACAAGAUGUCUUCUUAUGCCUCUUCUGAAGAAUGUAGAUGUUUUAUAGCAACCAUCCCCUCUAGGUAGGGAUGAAGUUUUUACUGCCAAGCAUUGUAUUUGAAUUCUUCUAAGGUAAGAUUUGAUGUGAAAUCAUUUGGAGAACGAAUGGAUUGGAAUAGGUAAUAGCGUUCUAAAUGUCCUCAUUCUCAGUGACUUUUGUUUCAAUGUUCUCCCAUUUAUGAAAAAGGACAGAAUAAUUGCUUACUUUGAGAGAGGCUAGGAAGAUGUUGGCCACAUAGGGCAAUGAUGAUGUUCUAUUGUGUAUUUUUUUUUUGCUUUUACCAUUUAGUUUUGACCAAACAGUUCAUGGAACAUCAAGAUGAUGCAUAGUUAAUAAGACAGAAGGUCAAGGAAAUGAAAGAAAAGAGUAAACAAAAAGGAAACAUCACUGAGCUAUUACUUUCUAUCAGAAUUUGUUAGAGGAAGCCAUUAAUGGAUCUCAGGAAGCACAUGAAUAGUACGUACUAGACACAUAUUGUAUUACGAAUACUUGUUCUGAGGUGAAAGUCAGGACAUGAAAGCUUUCUUCUUAGAAAAUGCUGCUCCUCAGACUGAUGCUGCAGGAACAACUUCCCUGGGGUUCAGUUUCCUCAUCAGGAAAUGAAGGAAAUAAUGAAGCCUAGAAUUCCUAGAGUUGUUGUAAGAGAUGCAACAGAUACUUGGACAAGGUUACAGACCUGGCAGUGUUGAAAAAAAGGAAAAAAAGGUAACAAACAAAUCAUAAACAAGAUGCUCCUGGGGUUCUAAGUGCACCAGAUACUGUAUAAUAAAGAGCAGUACUGCUUUAGAAAGCUCACGAAAAGUGACAGACUGCUGUCUUCUGACUGGACAGGUUGUAGAGGUCAGGCCUCCCAGCCUCGGCCUUCCUGCCCUGAGGCCUCCAACACCUGAACUCAGCAGCACGACGUUCACCUCCUUCCACCAGGAAGAACCCCAGCUUCCUCUUCCGGUUUUGGAACCUCAGGCUCCACAGGCUCCACACCCUCAGCCACUUCUUCUUACUGCGCCCCGUGCACAUUUGCGUUUGCUCUGUCCGCCUCCCCCACCGCUGGGGCUCCUCC